ensembl:lncRNA
AAACCAUAUGAACUAGGAAAGAAAACAUUCAGUAUAAAUGAUAAUGUAAGAUCAUGUAACUUUCAGAUACCUAAAGAAUGAAGACAGUGUCAAAAUACACAUUUGGUAUGUCAGAUUAAAUCUGCACAAGAACCUCUAACCUAGCAUAAACUAAAUUCUUACAAAACUUGAUUUCACAACCUUAUCUUUUUCCCAAAAAAAUGCUCAGUUUUAAAAUGCAGCAAAAUCUUAAAACGCAAUCCAUCAUCUGGAGCUAAAUUUAUGCCUUUGUGCUCCCUUAACAGUUUUAGAAUUCAGAUGCCAAGCAGAGAUCUUUACCAAUUAGGGUAACAAGCUGAUCAGCCAGGAGGUUAUUUGGGAACUCCACGGAGAAGCCCAUGAGGUUUUUUUGUGAUUCAUGAUGAUGACAGAGAAGCGCAGGUUCCACUUUAGUUUUUUACUUUCUGCCCAGUGCCAUCUUUCCUCAGCUGACUCAUUUUGCACCUUUCCUUGUCCCAGUUGCUGUCUUCUCUCUCUGCAGACCUUUGGUCCUCAUUGAAGGUUUCCAUUCCUUUGCUCUGCAAUUUGAGCUGCUCCCCCUCAUCCCUUUGCUUCCUCAUCCUCUCCCAAGCUCCUUUCCCAUGUCAGCUGGAGUUCUCCUCCUCCUCCCCCUCGCUGAAGCACCAGGAUGGGAGCAACCAGAGUGCACCAGAAAUCACUUCCACCUCCUCUGCUCGGUGCUGCAGCAUCCUCAGCUUGUUGGAAGAUGUCAGGGCAGGGAUGUCCUGCUCACCCCCAUCAGCUGUGACUGUCUGGAUGCAGAGAAUUUAGGGGUGACCUUAUCUUCCUGUACCAUCAGCAUACAUACAGACAUGUCAUCAAAGAUGUUGUCUCAUCACGAGAACAAGACACCAGAAAUAAGCUCAGGAAAAACAGGAGCAAGGAGCAGCAAUAAACCAGCCUGUUCAUCGUGGGCAGCACCUCCAACAUCUGAUACCUGAUGGCAGCCAAGGCAUGGAACAAAGAUUCCACACUCUACAGAAGCUUUCCUGCAGACAGGUCGUCAGGAAUGAACCAAGCCUUUUCCAGAGUGUAGCAGUUUAUAAGUCAAUAAAGUGAC